UACGGGGGGGGCUAGCGUUAUUCGGAAUCAUUGGGCGUAAAGGGCGCGUAGGCGGAUAGGUAAGUCCGUGGUGAAAUCCUGCAGCUUAACUGCAGAACUGCCAUGGAUACUAUUUAUCUUGAAUGUCGUGGAGGUUAGCAGAAUAUGUCAUGUAGCGGUGAAAUGCUUAGAUAUGACAUAGAAUACCCAUUGCGAAGGCAGCUAACUACGCGAUAAUUGACGCUGAUGCACGAAAGCGUGGGGAUCAAACAGG
rnacentral:rRNA from 1 species